UCAGGAUGAACGCUGGCGGCGUGCCUAAUACAUGCAAGUCGAGCGAACAGAUGAAGGAGCUUGCUCCUCUGACGUUAGCGGCGGACGGGUGAGUAACACGUGGAUAACCUACCUAUAAGACUGGGAUAACUUCGGGAAACCGGAGCUAAUACCGGAUAACAUAUUGAACCGCAUGGUUCAAUAGUGAAAGACGGCUUUGCUGUCACUUAUAGAUGGAUCCGCGCCGUAUUAGCUAGUUGGUAAGGUAACGGCUUACCAAGGCAACGAUACGUAGCCGACCUGAGAGGGUGAUCGGCCACACUGGAACUGAGACACGGUCCAGACUCCUACGGGAGGCAGCAGUAGGGAAUCUUCCGCAAUGGGCGAAAGCCUGACGGAGCAACGCCGCGUGAGUGAAGAAGGUCUUCGGAUCGUAAAACUCUGUUAUCAGGGAAGAACAAAUGUGUAAGUAACUGUGCACAUCUUGACGGUACCUGAUCAGAAAGCCACGGCUAACUACGUGCCAGCAGCCGCGGUAAUACGUAGGUGGCAAGCGUUAUCCGGAAUUAUUGGGCGUAAAGCGCGCGUAGGCGGUUUUUUAAGUCUGAUGUGAAAGCCCACGGCUCAACCGUGGAGGGUCAUUGGAAACUGGAAAACUUGAGUGCAGAAGAGGAAAGUGGAAUUCCAUGUGUAGCGGUGAAAUGCGCAGAGAUAUGGAGGAACACCAGUGGCGAAGGCGACUUUCUGGUCUGUAACUGACGCUGAUGUGCGAAAGCGUGGGGAUCAAACAGGAUUAGAUACCCUGGUAGUCCACGCCGUAAACGAUGAGUGCUAAGUGUUAGGGGGUUUCCGCCCCUUAGUGCUGCAGCUAACGCAUAAGCAUCCGCCUGGAAACAUGCACCCCUCUAAAGGGG
rnacentral:rRNA from 1 species